rnacentral:rRNA from 1 species
UUGCCCUACGGGGGGCAGCAGUGAGGAAUAUUGGUCAAUGGCCGAGAGGCUGAACCAGCCAAGUCGCGUGAGGGAUGACGGCCCUACGGGUUGUAAACCUCUUUUGUCGGGGAGCAAGACCCGCCUCGUGCAGGCGGAGCGAGAGUACCCGAAGAAAAAGCAUCGGCUAACUCCGUGCCAGCAGCCGCGGUAAUACGGAGGAUGCGAGAGUUAUCCGGAUUUAUUGGGUUUAAAGGGGGCGUAGGCGGUCUGUUAAG